rnacentral:tRNA from 2 species
UUUUAAAGGAUAAUAGUAAUCCAUUGGUUUUAGGAGCCAAAUACUCC